AGUGUGCCCUUUCCUUCUUGACUUUUUAGCAGUUCUGGGUAAAUAUUGAUUUGCCCCCAGUUUACCUUCUCCCUGACUGGCCAUUUGCAGACUCAGGAACUAGCCUCUGUAGGGACUUGAUUUUUCUGUUACUUUCUGGCCGUUUCACCACCCCCCUUCCUCCCUCCAAGUGGCAUUGUAAAACUCACAGUGACAAAGAGACAGAGUAGGGUUCUAGGCCCCUGUUCCUGGGGACUUGAAGGCGGUUUUACAUACUGGUCAGACACGGCUGGAGGCCAAGGUCAAGUUGAAAGUUGCAGUCCAGCCAGCAUGAGAACUGCCAUGCGAGCGUAGAGACACAGGCAGCAGCAAAAGGCCCAUUGCCCACAUCCCCUCACUCUUAAUUUUCUCUCUCUUUUUAAAAUUCUCGCCUCUGACUCUGUUCGGCUGCCCAGAAUUUUUUGGUGCCUUCGUGGGGUUUUUGGGGCGGUGUUUACCGACUCUUCUCUGCCUCCGCCCUGCUCAGCCAGGGCUUUGAGCCUCUUCGGUUUUCCGGCCAGACCCGGAAAAACGAAAACACAGCUUGGGGAGCCCCCACUAGCCGGCGCCUGUGCCAGCUCACCUCUGGCCAUGGCGCAGCUGCCGGUGCACACGGCGGCCAAGGCCAGCUCCACAUUCUUCCCUCCCCCUCCCACUUCACCGUAGCCCCGAACCCUGCGCGCAGAGAAAGGGUCUCAGCUCCACAGACGACUGGGUCCCUCCUCACCAAAAAUGGUGAGACAAGAUUUCAUCUGUCGGCCGAGGAGCCACAAGCAGGUACCACAAAGCCACUAGUGCACAGGGACUCAGAAAAGACGGCAGGAGCCCAAGGAAAACUCCAAUUUGAGUACAGCCCUGCCUUGUUUCCCCCAGAGAGUCCCUGAGCAAGGAGACCUCCACCCCACACACACCAUUUCAGAACAACCAGGUUCCAGACUCCCAUGAGGAGCAUCUCCCACUGCAGAGCCUUGGCCAGCCGCGCCCGGACUCCUCAGAGCUGGCGCAAACUCCGUCCUCCAAAACUCGGCUCUGGGAGGCCUAAGUGACUCCGAAGCCGGCGGCAGCCGCGGCAGCGGCCGUGGUGGUGGAAGAGCUCUUUUCCCCGACAGUGCCACUGAUCGCUCUUCACUGGAGCUGGAAACAGCCUUCGCGGAAAGGACCGGAGCAUGCGUUAGAAGCAGAGGGAGCUUGGUGAAGGGCUCGGCUGGAAGGAGGAAACGCCUUCUCGCAGUGCGCGGCCAGCCCGCGGGGGACACCGGCUUGCUGGACUGCAGGGGCCCGUGCCACCCAGGAAGUGACCUGCGGGUCACUCAGCCGGGGCGCUGGGCGAGCGCGGGACGGCCCGGAGAAUUCCGUGCGGCUGCGACGGGAAAAGGACGAGGGGUCUCUGUACCCGACGCUGCCACUGGCCCAAAGGAAUUUUACCCGCGAGCGCCCACCCCACCCUAGCUUGAUGCUUACGCCCGCAACAAAACAGGAAACCAGGACUGGGCAGUGCAUUCUUUAAGUCAACAAAUACACUGAAGACUUCGAGCGUUUGAAGGAAGGAGGGGGUUUGCACGUAAGCCUGGCCCCGCCGGGCUCGGCUUUCUCGCUGAGAAAGCGGCGCAGGCAGCCAGGCGGCCUGGGCCCGCGGGGGUCCAUCUCGCCCUAGACUCCUAAGAACUCCCACGGCCCUGUUCCCAGCUGCGAAUUCUUAAUGCACAACGCGACGGAGGGAAGGAAAUUCACCAGCGCAGCGACGAGGAAGGGGAACUCAGGACCCCUUCAAGUACACACUGAGGUGUGAUCAGAGUUUUAUGGGCACUUUAUAUGCUGUAAUCAUAACGAUGUGUGUGCCUUGAUAUGCACGCAUAUUCACGCAUCAAACGUGCAUACACACACAGAGUGAAUGUGCGCAUCCAAUGUCAUGUGGGUGAAAUACAAGCAUCAUACCCAGCCCUACGAAAAAAAAAUUCACCCUGUCGGACCAGGCUGGUGACAUACUUCGCUGGCGCAUCUCCUUACUCACUCUUACUUUUCCGACCCCUCACCAUUCCCUCUCCUGUGGCUUGGUAAAUACACCUGCCCUCCGUGGAAGGUGAGUCCUGGACUGGCGUUGCCAGGUUCGCAUGUCCUCCCCAGAACCUCCGUCUGGCUCCAGGGACUCUCACUGAGCGGGUCUAGAGCACCCAGCACUUUUCAAGGAACAGCCGCGGUUCCUUUGUCCCGCGGCUCCAGCCCCGUUCGGCCCAGCUCUCAGGGAAACGAAGCGCUCAGUAAGAACUUUUGAUAUUAGUUUGUAUGGGUAUUUACACUCUGGUGAGGGGAGCUGAGUACGGAAGUUCCAUUAAUCAUACUCCAACCUUGGGUUUAGAUAUUCAGUUUAUGGGUUGGGAGAGGGAGUUUGCCGGAAAGAAAGCAUCAAGGUUGGCCGCUGACUCCAGAGAAAUGAAAAGGGAGCAAGGUCGUUUUCUGUUUCUGGAAAUCAAGAAUUAGGAAUGGGCAACUACAGGUGCUAACCAACAGACCACUUUUUUGUUUUUUGGUAGCCCUUUGGCAGGGAUAGUUUUUCCACCUUUGCCCGAUACAAUUUAAAAAAAAAAAUCCUUUUAUUAUGGAAUUUGUCAAACACACACACAAGCAUAACAAACCCCUAGGUACCCAUCUCCAAGUUUUGACCCCUAUUAUAAUUUCAUCUUCAGUGUUUUAUUAUCCACUUCCUCUCUCUCUAUCUUUAGUAUUUUAAAGUAAAUCCCAGAUAGCAUCACAUCAUUUCACCCCCACCAUAGGAUUUCAAAGAUCUGUUAUAUUUCAAGAUUGAGUAAAAGGGCUUGAAAUUGGGUUAUUGCAAUGAAACUCUAGAAAAAGCUUGAGGGUUCACCCAGGAGUAAGCUGGACAAAAAAGGGGUUUGAGGGGUGGACCCAUCUUGCCUAAAAAUCUUGUCUCAUCUUUCUAAAAAUUACAUAUGAAAGAGGAAGAUUUAUGUUACUUUUUUAUAUGAGAGAAUCGUCCUUUAAUAGAAAAUUUCUAUUGCUGCAUCAGAAUUAUGGAGGAACACAAAAAACAUACCUCAGUCCUUAGUGUGUCCUAAAUUAACACAUAUUCACUUAUUAGUGGGUAAAUGACUAUAUUUCAUUUCAGCACAACUUCUCCCCUGGUAGAAACACAAAAGAAAUUUCUAAUGAUUAAACUAGGAAAGUUUGCACUGAAUUGAUGGCUUAUCAGAGCAACCGCAGUUUUCAGGAAGAAAUUCAAUGCCAUGCGUUGAAAAUAUCCCCCUAGCAAUAAGGGAUUAUUUUUAAAAAAGAAUGAAUAAAGAUGUUCUGGUUUCUUUUGUUUUAA
rnacentral:lncRNA from 1 species